GGGCGGGGUCUGGGUGAAGAUGGGGGCACAUUUCCGGGUCAAAUGCUCCGUGGAGCCGCAGUACCGGGAGGCUCCUUCCAGCUGCUCUCUCCCACUCUCAACCUCACCCUGCCGGCCCUCAAUCACUCCGCCCACUUCCUGUUUACUGACGUAGGCCGCGCCCACAAAGGGAACUACACCUGUGUUUACAUCCAGGAAGUGUUCAACCACAACUUCACCUCCAGCAGCUCCCUCCACAUCCACCCAGGAGUGUCUUCCUUCCAGACCUUGGUCCGAGUGCUGGUCCUUCUCCUGCUGAUGCCGCUGCACUUCAUCCCGUACGUCUUCUACCGCCAGGCCACCAGGGGGCAUGAGAGAGCACAGAGAGCCAGGAGACGCAGAGCCCGCCCUGAAGAAGAACUCACUGACGUCGUCAUGGAGCAGAUGUGAUGGACCAACUUCUCCUGCUCGCAUCAUCACCGCAGAUUAAUAAUCAUUACGCUUUUUACUAUUUCAUAACAUGAUCUAAGGAUCUAUUGAGCUAAAUCUACUCCGAGCUUUUUACCGGGUUAUAAAUGUGUUCCAGGAGGAGGGUUUCCACUCGCACAGCUUUGACU
rnacentral:lncRNA from 1 species